rnacentral:rRNA from 1 species
CCUACGGGAGGCAGCAGUGAGGAAUAUUGGUCAAUGGGCGCGAGCCUGAACCAGCCAAGUAGCGUGAAGGAUGACUGCCCUACGGGUUGUAAACUUCUUUUAUAAAGGAAUAAAGUUAGGCACGUGUGCCUUUUUGUAUGUACUUUAUGAAUAAGGAUCGGCUAACUCCGUGCCAGCAGCCGCGGUAAUACGGAGGAUCCGAGCGUUAUCCGGAUUGAUUGGGGUUAAAGGGAGCGUAGAUGGGUUGUUAAGUCCAUUGUGAAAGUGGGCGGCUCAACCGUAAUAUUGCAGUUGAUACUGGCAGUCUUGAGUACAGUAGAGGUAGGCGGAAUUCGUGGUGUAGCGGUGAAAUGCGGAGAUAUCACGAAGAACUCCGAUUGCGAAGGCAGCGUACUAGACUGCCACUGACAUUGAUGCUCGAAAGUGUGGGUAUCAAACAGGAUUAGAUACCCCAGUAGUC